UCAUAUUAUGCCAGAGAUUUAUGGGCCGCUUUGAUGUGGCGGUUACGAGUUGUGCGACUCUAAUAUGAU
rnacentral:tRNA from 1 species